rnacentral:rRNA from 1 species
CCAGACUCCUACGGGAGGCAGCAGUGGGGAAUCUUCCGCAAUGGCACGAAAGUCUGACGGAGCAACGCCGCGUGAGUGAUGACGGCCUUCGGGUUGUAAAGCUCUGUUAAUCGGGACGAAAGGCCUUCUUGCGAAUAGUGAGAAGGAUUGACGGUACCGGAAUAGAAAGCCACGGCUAACUACGUGCCAGCAGCCGCGGUAAUACGUAGGUGGCAAGCGUUGUCCGGAAUUAUUGGGCGUAAAGCGCGCGCAGGCGGAUAGGUCAGUCUGUCUUAAAAGUUCGGGGCUUAACCCCGUGAUGGGAUGGAAACUGCCAAUCUAGAGUAUCGGAGAGGAAAGUGGAAUUCCUAGUGUAGCGGUGAAAUGCGUAGAUAUUAGGAAGAACACCAGUGGCGAAGGCGACUUUCUGGACGAAAACUGACGCUGAGGCGUGAAAGCCAGGGGAGCGAACGGGAUUAGAUACCCCGGUAGUCCUGGCUGUAAACGAUGGGUACUAGGUGUAGGAGGUAUCGACCCCUUCUGUGCCGGAGUUAACGCAAUAAGUACCCCGCCUGGGGAGUACGACCGCA